rnacentral:tRNA from 1 species
GUGGAUGUGCCGGAGUGGUUAUCGGGCAUGACUAGAAAUCAUGUUGGAUUUGCCCGCGCAGGUUCGAAUCCUGCCGUCCACG